CGCUCAGCUUCUGCCACCACGCGGGCAUCUGGUGGGCAAACCAAGCCAGUGGGGUGGGAAUGCACUGGGUUUCAUAGUGGUAAUUCAUCGCUGUUAAGCCCCACCAAGUUGGACAGCGUGAGGUGAGCUUCACUACUCCGGAGGCAAACAUCAGACGGAAGAGAAGCCACCGGAUGAGCCAAAAGGUGAUGCGGUCGUGCUCGCGGACGGCUCGAGACCCCCUGAUGAGAGUCAUUGGAGCCACCAGGAUGCAGAGGAAGCCCGCCUCCAGGAGCAGGUUGUCCCUGGGAGAGUAAUGAGACGGUAAUAUAUCCAAUAUCAAAAAAAUUUAAACACACAAUCACUGGCCGCCAUUUUAUGAGCGUGACCACUCACCAUUGGAAGUAGAGGAAAACCUGCCCCACCUGCCACACAAGCAAAGUGAGAGAAAUGCCACACACCCCAUUUUCAUAUUCAGCAAAACGUCAACAUUACCUGGUACAUGGACAAGUACAAAGCCCAGAGGCAGAAGAAUACCAGGCUGUCUCGCAGCGCCGCCACCAGUGUGGCGGCCAGGCUGAGCGCCGCCCCGACCAAACAUAGCAACUCCAUAGCCGUGUGCGUGUCAAGGCCCAGGUGGGGGCUCAGCCACAGCAGGGUGGGCGAGGACAGAAGUUGCUCUCCCAGAGGCUUGCCGCUAAAACGGAGCUGCUUACGAGCGGGCAGGAGACCAUCGUUGCCAUAGAGACCUGUAAAAACACCCAGAGAAUGAUUUUGAUCAAUAAAUCAAUAAAUAAAUAGGUGGAUUUCC